rnacentral:rRNA from 1 species
CCCUUAGAGUUUGAUCCUGGCUCAGAUUGAACGCUGGCGGCAUGCCUUACACAUGCAAGUCGAACGGCAGCACGGGAGCAAUCCUGGUGGCGAGUGGCGAACGGGUGAGUAAUACAUCGGAACGUGCCCAGUAGUGGGGGAUAACCCGGCGAAAGCCGGACUAAUACCGCAUACGACCUACGGGUGAAAGCGGGGGAUCGCAAGACCUCGCGCUAUUGGAGCGGCCGAUGGCAGAUUAGCUUGUUGGUGGGGUAAAGGCCCACCAAGGCGACGAUCUGUAGCUGGUCUGAGAGGACGACCAGCCACACUGGGACUGAGACACGGCCCAGACUCCUACGGGAGGCAGCAGUGGGGAAUUUUGGACAAUGGGCGCAAGCCUGAUCCAGCCAUGCCGCGUGCGGGAAGAAGGCCUUCGGGUUGUAAACCGCUUUUGUCAGGGAAGAAACGCUCCGGGCCAAUACCCCGGAGUAAUGACGGUACCUGAAGAAUAAGCACCGGCUAACUACGUGCCAGCAGCCGCGGUAAUACGUAGGGUGCAAGCGUUAAUCGGAAUUACUGGGCGUAAAGCGUGCGCAGGCGGCUUUGCAAGACAGAUGUGAAAUCCCCGGGCUUAACCUGGGAGCUGCAUUUGUGACUGCAUGGCUGGAGUGCGGCAGAGGGGGAUGGAAUUCCGCGUGUAGCAGUGAAAUGCGUAGAUAUG